rfam:Ictidomys tridecemlineatus contig013307, whole genome shotgun sequence.
AUCUGGACGCGCUGAGUGGAUGCGGGGGUCUCCUGGGAACUGGGUUGGAGUCGAACCAGCGCUAGCUAGGCGCAAGCGCUCACAGAGUGCAGCCGCCCCAGGACCCCUCCCCGCCCCCACAGACCACCCGGAGACCCCAGCGCAGAAUCGUCUCCGGAUUCCCAGCAGUCGCCUGGAGUGUUGGAGAUUGGCUCUUGCCCCCGCCCUCCGCACACCCUAGGGAAAGGAAGCACCCCCCGGUAUUAAAAAGAGCUGAGCGGAAAGAAGCUCUCUCAGUCGCUGGCGGGCAGGCGAGCUGAUGCGGAGCUACACCGUGUCCACCAUG